UACAGAGGGUGCGAGCGUUGUUCGGAAUUACUGGGCGUAAAGCGUGCGCAGGCGGUUCGCUAAGACCGAUGUGAAAUCCCCGGGCUUAACCUGGGAACUGCAUUGGUGACUGGCGAGCUAGAGUGUGGCAGAGGGGGGUAGAAUUCCACGUGUAGCAGUGAAAUGCGUAGAGAUGUGGAGGAAUACCGAUGGCGAAGGCAGCCCCCUGGGCUAACACUGACGCUCAUGCACGAAAGCGUGGGGGGCAAACAGG
rnacentral:rRNA from 1 species